UACAGAGGGUGCGAGCGUUAAUCGGAAUUAUUGGGCUUAAAGGGUGCGUAGGCGGCGCUUUAAGUCGGGUGUGAAAUCCUUCGGCUCAACCGAAGAAUUGCGCCCGAUACUGGGGUGCUAGAGGGAGACAGGGGUGAGCGGAACUGAUGGUGGAGCGGUGAAAUGCGUUGAUAUCAUCAGGAACACCGGUGGCGAAAGCGGCUCACUGGGUCUCUUCUGACGCUGAGGCACGAAAGCCAGGGUAGCGAACGGG
rnacentral:rRNA from 1 species